rnacentral:rRNA from 1 species
UACGUAGGGACCAAGCGUUGUUCGGAUUUACUGGGCGUAAAGGGCGCGUAGGCGGCAAUUCAAGUCAUCUGUGAAAUCUCCGGGCUUAACUCGGAACGGUCAGAUGAUACUGCUUUGCUAGAGUGCAGAAGGGGCAGUCGGAAUUCUUGGUGUAGCGGUGAAAUGCGUAGAUAUCAAGAGGAACACCUGAGGUGAAGACGGGUUGCUGGACCGUAACUGACGCUGAGACACGAAAGCGUGGGUAGCAAACAGG